UGGGAAUGAAACCAGGUGGAGACAAAGC
rnacentral:piRNA from 1 species